GGGCCCGCACAAGCGGUGGAGUAUGUGGUUUAAUUCGAUGCAACGCGAAGAACCUUACCAGGGUUUGACAUCCUGCGAAUUUCUGGGAAACCGGAAAGUGCCUUCGGGAGCGCAGUGACAGGUGGUGCAUGGCUGUCGUCAGCUCGUGUCGUGAGAUGUUGGGUUAAGUCCCGCAACGAGCGCAACCCACGUCUUUAGUUGCCAGCAUUUAGUUGGGCACUCUAGAGAGACCGCCGGUGAUAAACCGGAGGAAGGUGUGGAUGACGUCAAGUCAUCAUGCCCCUUACAUCCUGGGCUACACACGUACUACAAUGCUACGGACAAAGGGCAGCAAACUCGCGAGAGCUAGCAAAUCCCAUAAACCGUGGCUCAGUUCAGAUCGUAGGCUGCAACUCGCCUACGUGAAGGAGGAAUCGCUAGUAAUCG
rnacentral:rRNA from 1 species